ACCUGAUGCAGCAACGCCGCGUGAGGGAUGACGGCCUUCGGGUUGUAAACCUCUUUUAGUAGGGAAGAAGCGAAAGUGACGGUACCUGCAGAAAAAGCACCGGCUAACUACGUGCCAGCAGCCGCGGUAAUACGUAGGGUGCAAGCGUUGUCCGGAAUUAUUGGGCGUAAAGAGCUCGUAGGCGGUUUGUCGCGUCUGCUGUGAAAUCUGGGGGCUCAACCCCCAGCCUGCAGUGGGUACGGGCAGACUAGAGUGCGGUAGGGGAGAUUGGAAUUCCUGGUGUAGCGGUGGAAUGCGCAGAUAUCAGGAGGAACACCGAUGGCGAAGGCAGAUCUCUGGGCCGUAACUGACGCUGAGGAGCGAAAGCAUGGGGAGCGAACAGGAUUAGAUACCCUGGUAGUCCAUGCCGUAAACGUUGGGAACUAGAUGUGGGGACCAUUCCACGGUCUCCGUGUCGCAGCUAACGCAUUAAGUUCCCCGCCUGGGGAGUACGGCCGCAAGGCUA
rnacentral:rRNA from 1 species